AAAAAUCUAGUUUAAUAAAAAUAUUAAUUUGUCAAAUUAAAGUUACAGAAGUGAUUUUUG
rnacentral:tRNA from 1 species